rnacentral:lncRNA from 1 species
CGUCCAAUAAUACUAUAUUUGUUCCACGUCCUCGCGUUGUUGUGUUUUUUUUUGUGCUUUCUUGUUUGGAUUAACUAUAUAUAUAUAUAUAUAUAUAUAUAUAUAUAUCCAUCAAAUAGAGCCAUACUGUUCUAGGGUACGUUUACGAGUAGCAAUAAGUGGAACGGCCUCUAGAUAGAGAGGUAAGCAACGAAUAAAUCACUUUGAUGGCUAAUAAGUUGUGGCCAACAGCAGCAGCACUCAUCAGAGUACAGUGACCCGACGGUUAAAAUUGGUGAGACUAUAAAAAAAAAACUGCCAAUGCCUUAUAACGAUGCCCUGUAACACCGCUAAACAGUCCCAGCUUCAUUUAUGGCUUAAACAGAUACAGUCCUCACUUUCUCCAGCUUUCAUAUCUUUGAUAUUCUACGGGAUUAAAAGCAUGGUUGUUGAUAUGGUGUCUGUGUUUGCUUUCAAUUGUACGGGUUUGUAGUGAUCCAACAACGGUGCGCGCGCGCGCACCGUACAUUUGUAUUUCGCGCGUGUUGGUGCCUUUACCAAGGCACAGAAAGGAAGGGCCCUCUCGCGCAUGCGCGAACCACCGGAAGCACGACCCGCUUGCCUAUCGUGGUAGUUAGCGAGGCAAGGGGGUCGUAGAACGUUUGACCACUAGCGGCAGUCAUCGAGGACUUGGGACCCAGCGAUUGACGGCGACAGUCACGCAUAUAUUCUCUCCGUCUGAACUGAUUCUAGCAGUCCUUUGGCCGAAGACUUUUAACCAAAAUUGUUGCAGACCAACAUCGUCUCCAUUGUUCGACGCCAUCUUGGACCCUUUCUGUUUUCAUCGGCUGGACAUUGUAAAUAUUACAAUCUGUUAACUUUCAGCCUUGCGCGCCCGAAUCAAGGACAUCAGAUAACACACUUAUUGUUAUUGUCAACAAGAAAGAGAAUAAAGUAGUUAUAUAUAUUUCACGUCUGCGUCUUGUUGUUUCUGACUUGUAGAAUUCUGGAUUAUUAAAGUAACGGCUAGUGAGUGAUUGCUUUGUGCACCCCAAAAGUCCACGAGGAUAUUCACACAUCACAUGAAGCUCGUUUCAGGUUCCUAAAAUAUGAGUGAAUGAAUGGUGCAAUGAGAAAGUAAAGUCCAGUUGCACUAAAUAAUGGUGACAAUGGUAGACUUGAGAAACAGGAAGAUGCUAGCCGGAAAUUAGCUCAAAUACGAUUUGUCUGUAAUGAUCAUGAGUAUAUAGAAGAUCGUGCUCAUAUGACCAGGCUGUCCUAUUCAGAGAUUGCGACAUCUUUCUCAAUUCGGAUGCAUCACAAUAAAAAGAUUUAAAACCGCCCGUUCAUCUUAAACCAGCCUGCCUGAGAUACUAUGCCUUGUUUGGUCUCCAUUUCUGUGAUCAAAUAAAGCAAGAAGGAAACUUUAAAUUGAUUUUUGAAUCCUUCAGCGUCAGAACGAUAAUGGAAUAAUUCUGGAAGAGCAAAAGAACUACAAUGGUUGAAAGAAAAUUGAGUUAGGGUUUGGGUUAGAACUGUAGUAUAGACAUCGCUCUACUGUCAGAAACACGACUGAAAGAAUAGCAAGAUUGCAAGAGCAAACAAACAGCUUCUUUUGAUCAGGAAAUGAAGAUGCUGUACAAAGUGAAUCUUGUGUCGGUUUCUCCAUCCUCUGCAUUCGUUUCUUGUUGCUAUUUGUUGAAUGUCUUAGGCCUUUGCUAGAAACCACUUUGAACAUAGUCUAUUUCGGUUCAAAUAAAAACAAUAUAUCAUACUAAUCAAUACCAAACCAGUUACUAUUCACAGGAUACCAAAAUUUUCAUUGAUUUGACAGUCUCUUUCUCUACGUUUUUAUAAUAAAAGUUUUGACAGGAUUUAAAUUUUCAACAACUGGAUAAAAAAUAUUUCGUCACAAUGAAAUCGUUCUUUUAUCGUCAUAGUAACGUAAUACUGGUUGUCACGACAACGAUGAUGCUAUGGUUUGUUUAUAGUUUAGUAGAGUUAUAAACUAAUAACGAAACAACUUCUGGUCUGAUUAAUAAGAAUCGCAUCUUAGUCUUAGUCUUGUUCUUAGGUCCUCCUGCACUGUAUGGCACAUUGGGCGGCAAGGCUUCUCCAACGUGGUCGCUCAGCCGCGGCGAUUUCAGCUUCAUCCCAUGAAAUGUCAAUGGAUUUGGGGUUAUCGAUGAAGGUGCGACGCCAAGUUGCUUUUGGUCGUCCUUGUUUUUUCUUGCCAAUAAGUAUCACAUAUUAGAUCGUAAAUAACCCCGAGGAUUUCCAUACAUAAAGCUCGUAAUAGUAAGUUAGGAGAUAAUUGUCUUCUGC